GUACGGAAGGCAGCAGUAGGGAAUUUUGCGCAAUGGGGGAAACCCUGACGCAGCGACGCCGCGUGAGUGAUGAAGGCCUUCGGGUCGUAAAGCUCUGUCGUGGGGGAAUAAUUAUUGAAGGUACCCCACAAGAAAGGACCGGCUAACUUCGUGCCAGCAGCCGCGGUAAGACGAGGGGUCCUAGCGUUGUUCGGAAUUAUUGGGCGUAAAGCGGGUGUAGGUGGUCUAAUCAGUCAGGAGUGAAAGCCCUAGGCUUAACCUAGGAAGUGCUCUUGAAACAAUUAGACUUGAGUAUCGGAGAGGGUAGUGGAAUUCCUGGUGUAGUGGUGAAAUACGUAGAUAUCAGGAGGAACAUCGGUGGCGAAGGCGGCUACCUGGCCGAAUACUGACACUCAGACCCGAAAGCGUGGGGAGCAAACAGGAUUAGAUACCCGGGUAGUCC
rnacentral:rRNA from 1 species